rnacentral:pre_miRNA from 1 species
ACAGGAAAAUGACCUAUGAAUUGACAGACGAUGUGGCUGAAUUUGUCUGUCACUUCUAUAGGCCAAUAUUCUGU